rnacentral:lncRNA from 1 species
AAUAGGGGUGGGCGCGGGUCGGUUCGGUUCGGUUCUCUUUAGAACCGAACCGAACCAAACUUUUCGGGUAUCUAGUAAAUGGAACCGUCGGGUCCAAAUAUAAUUAUAGAACCGUUCGGGUUCGGUUCCAUUCGGUUCGGUUCGGAUCGGUUCGGUUCCGUUCGGUUCUGUACCAUAAUUAAAUUUUUUAACAUUUAUAACAACGUUAUAUAAAUACGACUAAUGAUACAUUUAAUAAUUUUGGAAUGUCAGAGAUUAGUAAACUACCUUGUUCAAAUGAUCGCUACGAUCAAAGCUUCAGUCGGGGAAAGUCACGGCUUCGAUCGGAGGUCAGAGUGUCGGCCGACGAUUGUAUAAGUUUUGGAAUAUUAGAUAGACUGCAAGAGUGAGUGCGAGAGUCGAGACAACGUUAUGCACUUUAUUGUAGGUGUUUAGGGUUAUUUAGUGGAUUUGAUCUUGUUUGGCUAAGAAAUG